rnacentral:rRNA from 1 species
GACGAACGCUGGCGGCGUGCUUAACACAUGCAAGUCGAACGCUGAAGCUCAGCUUUUGUUGGGUGGAUGAGUGGCGAACGGGUGAGUAACACGUGAGUAACCUGCCUCCUUCUUUGGGAUAACGCCCGGAAACGGGUGCUAAUACUGGAUAUUCACUGGUCUUCGCAUGGGGGUUGGUGGAAAGGGUUUUUCUGGUGGGGGACGGGCUCGCGGCCUAUCAGCUUGUUGGUGGGGUGAUGGCCUACCAAGGCUUUGACGGGUAGCCGGCCUGAGAGGGUGACCGGUCACAUUGGGACUGAGAUACGGCCCAGACUCCUACGGGAGGCAGCAGUGGGGAAUAUUGCACAAUGGGCGCAAGCCUGAUGCAGCGACGCCGCGUGAGGGAUGGAGGCCUUCGGGUUGUGAACCUCUUUCGCUCAUGGUCAAGCCGCAACAAUGGUUGUGGUGAGGGUAGUGGGUAAAGAAGCGCCGGCUAACUACGUG